rnacentral:lncRNA from 1 species
UGCAUCAAUUUGCUCACUCACCAACCAUAUAUAAGAGGUAGUCAUAUAACUAUUAAUGGUUUAUAUCUAGUGAAACUGAAGGCUGCAAACGUCAAAAUGGUUCCAACAUUAGUGUCAGUAAAUAAGGGUUGGACAUGAAUCCUUGCUUCCUUCCAGUUUAUUCUGUUGCGCCUCCUAGGAGGAGAAUGACCAGAUUCGCUGACAUUUGGGGCCAGGAGUGGUGGGGAGAACGUCUGAGACACACGCAUAGGGUUUUGUUUUGUUUUGUUUUUUGUUUCAGGAAGCAGUCAGUUGCCCAAAGAACAAUAGUUAGGAAACCAAGCCCUCAGAGGACCGCAUUAACUUGUGCAGUAACAAGUUCAGGGACGCUGGGUGUCUCAGCUGUUCAAUAACAAGAGAGGGGCAGAAAGGAAGGUUGCCAUGGUGAUGGCUUGCCGCACGUGCCGCAUGGGGGUGGGGGCGGAGGUGACUUUCUGCAGAGCUAAAUGAAGCUGUGGAAGUCGCCUCUCCUUGGCCUUGGGAUGCGGCCCAAAUUUGAGGCGUCUCGGCCGCUGCCUGGAGCCGGGCUGGAAGCACACUGGAUCCCUUGGGGAAGGCAGGCUGCCCUUAGCAUACAGAAACCCCCUCCUGGCAGCCAUUUUAUCGCAUCUCUUAUUCUUUGGCUUCUUCCCGGCUCAGGCCUCAGUGAAGCCCAGUUCACUCCAGGGUCUGCGGCGGGAGGCGGGCGCGCCCCACAGUGCGGGCUCGCCACGCGGUCCCUUGGCCUUCCCCAUCUUACUUGCAGCUUCGCGCCGGGAAGGGUUGGUUUUCGUGGUGGUUUGAUGUUGGGAGGGGAAAUGGAAAUUAAAUUCCCGGCAGACUGGGUUGCGAUCUCACAUCUUGAUCCUACUGCGGGUGCGUAAAGAAAACGGAGACGCAGAUGUGAUUCUUGGAGAAAUAAAGAUUUGAAGAGGUAAAGAAUUAACUUACCAAGGUCACAAAGCCGUAGGAAUACAGACCUGCUUUUCUGGUUUAACUACGCUAAGUCAAAAAAAGCGAGAUAUGGAAUUAACUGCAUUGAAAAAUGAAUGAUUCUCAAACUUUUUAUCUCAGCCUCCUUCACACUCUCAAUUAUUGAGGACCCUAAGGGCUUUCGUUUUUGUGAACUGUAUCUAUCACUGUUUAUCAUGCUAAAAUGCAAAAUUUGGAAUAAAAAUACUUAUUAAUUCAUUUUAAAAUAGCAAUAAAACAUUAGAUGAUAACCCAAAUAACUCAUUUUUAUGAAGAAGAAAAUUAAUGAGAAGGGAUACAUAGAUUUCCAUUUUUUGAAAAUUAGUGUGGAGCUUAUAGUUCGAGUCUCAUCUCUGCUUCUGCAUUCAAUCUGUUUUAAUGUGUUGCUUUGAUUAACAUACAUGAAGAAAUCUAGCCACUCAUACCAAAAGAGAGGACCUGGUACCAGAAAGAGUCUUGAGAACUCUCAAUAAGAGGUGUGCUGCUCCACUUGUGGAGAGUGUUUUAAUAACCAGUUCAUCAUUGAAGAGAAAGCCCACUUUGUAGCACUGCCAAUUUCUCUGGUGUAAAUACUCCCAACAUGGCUGGUAAUGCAAAGUUGGGAAAAGACAGGCAGUAGCACAUUAUUCUAUAGUAUUUCUACCAUACAAAUACAACAGCUAGAAAUAACCACAAGAGCCUAACAAGAUUGUAAUAAAAUGUAGUAAAAUGAUUAGGAAAUGAUGGGUUGUGAAUAUUUAUUAUCUUUACGUUAAUAUAAUUUGUUUAAUUGACGUUUU